rnacentral:rRNA from 1 species
UAAAAAAUUUGGCGGUAUUUUAGUCUAUUCAGAGGAACUUGUUCUGUAAUCGAUAAUCCACGAUGGACCUUACUUAAAUUUGUAUUCAGUUUAUAUACCGUCGUUAUUAGAAUAUUUUAUAAGAAUGUUAAUUUUCAUAAUUUUUUAGAAGAAAGUAUAUCAGAUCAAGGUGUAGCUUAUAUUUAAGUAGAAAUGGGUUACAAUAAAUUAAUUUAUACGAAUAUAAAAGUGAAAUAUUUAUUGAAGGUGGAUUUGAUAGUAAAAUUGUAAAGAUUAAUAAUUUGAUUUUAGCUCUAAAAUAUGCACACAUCGCCCGUCACUCUUAUUAUUAAGGUAAGAUAAGUCGUAACAUAGUAGAUGUACCGGAAGGUGUACCUAGAAUGCAAUUUAAAGCUUAUUUAGUAAAGUAUUUCAUUUACAUUGAAAAGAUUUUUGUGCAAAUCAAUAUAAAUUGAUUAAAUUUUAUUUAUUAAUUGUUAUUGUUUAUGUAAUAAAUUAUUAAAAAUAAUUAUAUAUAGAAAUGUUUUAGUAUUUUAUAAAGAAAAAAUAAUUUUAAUUAUAGUGAAUUAGUAUUGUAAAAUAAAAUU